ACCUGGCAAGCUGGCCUUAUCGCCGAGCUCGUCAACAAAGGGUCUACGUGCCCAACCAACGUUCGGUUCUUCACUACACCAAAUAAUCGCUUCCUACAUAUCACCAAAACUGUUCUAUCUAGCCCACAACGAUGUAUAAAAGUGCGUGUUAUAGUUUCCGAAUGAGUAUUUGUUCAAAAUGUCGUGGCUCCAAGCUAGCAUAUUUAUAGCCUACGGUUGUUUGAUGUUGUGCAACUAUAGUGAAAACCGGAGCUGUAAACAACAAGGGCCUUCUCUUGAGACACUCUUACGCCUAUUGGAAAUUCGAAACCAAAUGAAAUACCCUUCUCAAGGUACCAAGCAAACGCCGCGUACAAUGGUACCUUAUCCCUACUGUAAAACAUCUGAUAAUAUUGAAACAAAAAAAUCAACAUCUGGAUCUGCUUUAGAGUGCAGAAUUAAACUGCCUCUAUACAACGGCAGGCCCGUCAAAACUAAUAUAUACGUUCAACUACCUAUUUCUAUGUUUCCUUUACCCAAACAACCAGAACCAACCAAAGCAGUAGAGAAAAAAGACGAGGCGGAAGA